rnacentral:miRNA from 10 species
AUGCCCAGUUAAUUUUAAAUUUCAGAUAAACAAAUACUUUUUUCAGUGUAAGUAUAUCCCAUGCAAUAUUUGGGACAUGCUUAUACUAAAAUAUUAUUCUCUGUUAUCUGAAAUUGAAAUUUAACUGGAUAUUACUUAAUUAU